CAACCCUGUGAACAUACCUAUAACGUUGCCUCGGCGGGAACAGACGGCCCCGUAACACGGGCCGCCCCCGCCAGAGGACCCCCUAACUCUGUUUCUAUAAUGUUUCUUCUGAGUAAACAAGCAAAUAAAUUAAAACUUUCAACAACGGAUCUCUUGGCUCUGGCAUCGAUGAAGAACGCAGCGAAAUGCGAUAAGUAAUGUGAAUUGCAGAAUUCAGUGAAUCAUCGAAUCUUUGAACGCACAUUGCGCCCGCCAGUAUUCUGGCGGGCAUGCCUGUUCGAGCGUCAUUACAACCCUCAGGCCCCCGGGCCUGGCGUUGGGGAUCGGCGGAAGCCCCCUGCGGGCACAACGCCGUCCCCCAAAUACAGUGGCGGUCCCGCCGCAGCUUCCAUUGCGUAGUAGCUAACACCUCGCAACUGGAGAGCGGCGCGGCCACGCCGUAAAACACCCAACUUCUGAAUGUUGACCUCGAAUCAGGUAGGAAUACCCGCUGAACUUAAGCA
rnacentral:rRNA from 1 species